GCAUGGCGGCAUGCUAUACAUGCAGUCGAGCGCAAUGAGAUGUAAGGAGCUUGCUCUUAUGAAGUUAGCGGCGGACGGGUGAGUAACACGUGGGUAACCUGCCCAUAAGACUGGGAUAACUCCGGGAAACCGGGGCUAAUACCGGAUAACAUUUUGAACUGCAUGGUUCGAAAUUGAAAGGCGGCUUCCGCUGUCACUUAUGGAUGGACCCGCGUCGCAUUAACUAGUUGGUGAGGUAACGGCUCACCAAGGCAACGAUGCGUAGACCGACCUGAGAGGGUGAUCGGCCACACUGGGACUGAAACACGGCCCAUACUCCUACGGGAGGCAGCAGUAGGGAAUCUUCCGCAAUGGACGAAAGUCUGACGGAGCAACGCCGCGUGAGUGAUGAAGGCUUUCGGGUCGUAAAACUCUGUUGUUAGGGAAGAACAAGUGCUAGUUGAAUAAGCUGGCACCUUGACGGUACCUAACCAGAAAGCCACGGCUAACUACCUGCCAGCAGCCGCGGUAAUACGUACGUGGCAAGCGUUAUCCGGAAUUAUUGGGCGUAAAGCGCGCGCAGGUGGAUUCUUAAGUCUGAUGUGAAAGCCCACGGCUCAACCGUGGAGGGUCAUUGCAAACUGACAGACUUGAGUGCAAAAGAAGAAAGUGGAAUUCCAUGUGUAGCGGUGAAAUGCAUAUAGAUAUGGACGAACACCAGUGGCGAAGGUCGACUUUCUGGUCUGUAACUGACACUGACGCGCGAAAGCGUGGGGAGCAAACAGGAAUACAUACCCUGGUAGUCCACGCCGUAAACGAUGAGUGCUAAAUGUUAGAAGGUUUCCGCCCUAUAGUGCUGAAGUUAACGCAUUAUCACUCCGCCUAGGAGAAUACGGACGCUAAGACUGAAACUCAAAUGAAUUGACGGCGGGCCCGCACAAGCGGGUGGAGCAUGUAGUUCAAAUCGAAGCAACGCAGAAGAACCUUACCUGUCUGACAUCCUCUGACAACCCUAAAGAUAGGGCUUUCUCCUUACGGAACAAAGUGACAGUAGGUGCAUGCUUGCCCUCAGCUCGGUCAUGGAAGGUUAGUCAGUCCCGCAACGAGCGCCACCUUGAACUUGCAUGCCUAACAUUAAGGUUGUCACCCUGACGUGCACUGCAGUGACAACCGAAGAAGGUGAGAUGACUCAAAUGUCCCUGUCCUUAAGACUUGGAUAUCCUUGCUCAAUGACGUAUCAAGGCU
rnacentral:rRNA from 1 species